rnacentral:rRNA from 1 species
CCCCCAGACUCCUACGGGAGGCAGCAGUGGGGAAUAUUGCACAAUGGGGGAAACCCUGAUGCAGCAACGCCGCGUGAGUGAAGAAGUAUUUCGGUAUGUAAAGCUCUAUCAGCAGGGAAGAAGAAAGACGGUACCUGACUAAGAAGCCCCGGCUAACUACGUGCCAGCAGCCGCGGUAAUACGUAGGGGGCAAGCGUUAUCCGGAUUUACUGGGUGUAAAGGGAGCGUAGACGGCUGUGCAAGUCUGAAGUGAAAGCCGGUGGCUCAACCGCGGAACUGCUUUGGAAACUGUAUAGCUAGAGUACUGGAGAGGCAGGCGGAAUUCCUAGUGUAGCGGUGAAAUGCGUAGAUAUUAGGAGGAACACCAGUGGCGAAGGCGGCCUGCUGGACGACAACUGACGGUGAGGCGCGAAAGCGUGGGGAGCGAACAGGAUUAGAUACCCCAGUAU